UACGAGGGGGGCGAGCGUUGUUCGGAAUUAUUGGGCGUAAAGGGUGCGUAGGCGGUUUGGUAAGUCUUGUGUGAAAUCUACAGGCUCAACUUGUAGUCUGCACGAGAAACUGCCGGGCUUGAGUAUGGGAGAGGUGAGUGGAAUUCCUGGUGUAGCGGUGAAGUGCGUAGAUAUCAGGAGGAACACCUGUGGCGAAAGCGGCUCACUGGACCAUAACUGACGCUGAUGCACGAAAGCUAGGGGAGCAAACAGG
rnacentral:rRNA from 1 species